rnacentral:rRNA from 1 species
GGGUAGCCGGCCUGAGAGGGCGACCGGCCACACUGGGACUGAGACACGGCCCAGACUCCUACGGGAGGCAGCAGUGGGGAAUAUUGGGCAAUGGACGAAAGUCUGACCCAGCGACGCCGCGUGCGGGAUGAAGGCCUUCGGGUUGUAAACCUCUUUCAGCAGGGAAGAAGCGAAAGUGACGGUACCUGCAAAAGAAGCACCGGCUAACUAUGUGCCAGCAGCCGCGGUAAUACAUAGGGUGCAAGCGUUGUCCGGAAUUAUUGGGCGUAAAGAGCUCGUAGGUGGUUAGUUACGUCGGAUGUGAAAAUCUGGGGCUCAACCCCAGACCUGCAUUCGAUACGGGCUAGCUAGAGUUUGGUAGGGGAGACU